UACAGAGGUCCCGAGCGUUGUUCGGGUUCAUUGGGCGUAAAGGGUGCGUAGGCGGCGGGGCAAGUCUGAUGGGAAAUCCCGGGGCUCAACCCCGGAACUGCAUUGGAUACUGCCUUGCUCGAGUACUGGAGAGGGAACUGGAAUUUACGGUGUAGCAGUGAAAUGCGUAGAGAUCGUAAGGAAGGCCAGUGGCGAAGGCGAGUUUCUGGACAGUUACUGACGCUGAGGCACGAAGGCCAGGGGAGCAAACGGG
rnacentral:rRNA from 1 species